rnacentral:rRNA from 1 species
GACGAACGCUGGCGGCGUGCUUAACACAUGCAAGUCGAACGGAAAGGCCCUGCUUUUGUGGGGUGCUCGAGUGGCGAACGGGUGAGUAACACGUGAGUAACCUGCCCUUGACUUUGGGAUAACUUCAGGAAACUGGGGCUAAUACCGGAUAGGAGCUCCUGCUGCAUGGUGGGGGUUGGAAAGUUUCGGCGGUUGGGGAUGGACUCGCGGCUUAUCAGCUUGUUGGUGGGGUAGUGGCUUACCAAGGCUUUGACGGGUAGCCGGCCUGAGAGGGUGACCGGCCACAUUGGGCCUGAGAUACGGCCCAGACUCCUACGGGAGGCAGCAGUGGGGAAUAUUGCACAAUGGGCGGAAGCCUGAUGCCGCAACGCCGCGUGCGGGAUGACGGCCUUCGGGUUGUAAACCGCUUUCGCCUGUGACGAAGCGUGAGUGACGGUAAUGGGUAAAGAAGCACCGGCUAACUACGUG